rnacentral:rRNA from 1 species
AGUAAAAGUCGUAACAAGGUCUCCGUUGGUGAACCAGCGGAGGGAUCAUUACAGAGUUAUACAACUCCCAUACCAUCUGUUAACCUACCCAGUUAUGCCUCGGCGUAAGCUCGGUUGGAGGCACCUGCAGCUACCCUGUAGUUGCGGACUGCCAACUCCAGCCGCGGCCCGCCGGCGGUACACUAAACUCUGUUUUAUUUUAUAUUCUGAGCGUCUUAUUUUAAUAAGUUAAAACUUUCAACAACGGAUCUCUUGGUUCUGGCAUCGAUGAAGAACGCAGCGAAAUGCGAUAAGUAAUGUGAAUUGCAGAAUUCAGUGAAUCAUCGAAUCUUUGAACGCACAUUGCGCCCAUCAGUAUUCUGGUGGGCAUGCCUGUUCGAGCGUCAUUUCAACCCUUAAGCCUAGCUUAGUGUUGGGAAUCUGCUGUACUGCAGUUCCUUAAAGACAGUGGCGGAGCGGCGGUAGUCCUCUGAGCGUAGUAAUUUAUUUCUCGCUUUUGUCAGGCUCUGUCCUCCCGCCAUAAAACCCCCAAUUUUUUAGUGGUUGACCUCGGAUCAGGUAGGAAUACCCGCUGAACUUAAGCAUAUCAAUAAGCGGAGGA